GUGGAGUUGUGCAUGGUGAACUCAGCACUGCAGAAACAGAAGGAGGACAACAAGGAGCUGAUGGAGAGCCUUGCAGCCUUGGAGCAUCAGCAGGUAACUCAUCGUCAGAUUGAACAGAUGCUUUGGGACUUGACAGACAGCGAGAACAAACUGGCCUACGAGAAGGGCAAGCUGCAGACGCAGAGAGAAAUCAGACACUAAAAGAGCAACUCUGUGCACUACAGCAACACCACAGAGACAUGAAUGAAGUAGCACAAACUCUGGAGAACGUCUUGUCGUCUCACUCUCGUCUGCAGCAGAACACACAGACACUGUAUGCAGAGCUAAGAGAAAGAGCACAGGAACUACACACACUCAGUAGAGAGAGACUGCAGGCUAUGUUAGAGAUUCAGAGGCUUGAAGCUGAAGUAGAGAAUCACAACACAAGGAACAAUGAGAAGCUGAAGAAGGCACUAAAUGAUGCAUCGGCAAAGUCAGGUGACCUCUCACGAGCCAAUCAGGAGCUUCGAGAGAAGGUGUCUGAGCUGGAAAAGUUGGUGUCCAAUCAGAAGUCUCGACUGAGUCAGUAUCUGGACAACAGAACCACUCUGAAACACUCUCUGAGAAUCAAGUCUCAGUCUUUGCUGCAGCUGCGCUCUGAGAUGUUUUCUCUCCAGUCUGAGCUGCAGUGUCUGUAUUCCACUCAGCAGGCGGAGCUACAGGCCGAAAGAGAUCUCAAUCGCACACUACAGGAGAAAUGUUGGCACCUGGAAGAGAGUUUGAAACGGCUCCAGGAUGAGGCAGAAGUGAGACUCAGGGAAGUUUAUCUGGAGUCAAAGCAGAUCACAGAGAACAUGGACAAGGACCACAGAGGGGUCUGCUCUAAAUCUGAGAGCUUUAAUGGCCAGGCUGAGCCACAGAAACUCACAGAGCUUUCGCAAGAGGGGAGAAGACAGCACAUGGUCCACUUCAGCUCAGGAGAUUGCCUUUUGGGUUUUCUUUCGGGAUCGCCGGUGACCCGCUGUGUGGAAACGCACUGAGCCAUGCGUCAGUUGAAGGGCAAGCCGAAGAAGGAGUCGUGGAAGGACAAAAAGGAGCGCAAACAGGCCAUGCAGGAGGCGCGGGAGCAGGUGACAACCAUCGUUCUACCGACGCUCAUCUUGCUCGUGCUGCUCAUCGUCCUCCUCGUCUACGUGGCGACGAGACCCGGAGCCAUCGAGUAAAAAGACUCCAAAUAGCCAAAUCUCCUCUGCCCUUGUCUUUCUCUUUCAUUUCCCCUUGUUCCUUCACAAUGCAGAGUUCGGUGGAUGAAUUGGACACAAUCAUAAAGAUGAAUGGAUUGAUAAAGGAGUGGUUUUCUGUGUCAUGUUUGGAGUAUGUUGAAGGAGUCUUCCAUUUCGGCUUCUGACAGAGCACCUCUCCCACAGGGUUCUAGUUUCAUGCCAAAGCACCUGAGACGCAGCAGACUCGGACUGACCCAGGAAGCGGGCCAGAUCUGAUGCCGUCAAAGUCAAUACAAAUGAGAAGUGACUGUAGUAUUGCACAUGUUUGUAGCAUGCAAAUGCACACACACACACAGAUCCACACACACACACAGAUCCACAAAUGAACAGUGAUGGGUGUCACAUGAAACCAUUAAUGACAGAAUUGUAUGUUACCCAGAAUGUAUACUUCUUAUUGCUCAUUACCGAAUCCCUCUUAACAAGCAGUUGCUGAUGUUUUUGGUAAUGUGUGUGUGUGUGUGUGUGUGUGUGUGUGUGUGUAGUAGCCUACUCUUAUUUUAAAAUGUAUUCCAGCAGGACUUGGAUCUUAAAAUGUGCCUUAAUGUUUAAUGACAUAACAGCAUUUAAAGUAUUAAUAAAGAAAUAGAAAGCCAUGCUGACUGCUUUAAGUAUGGUUUUAAUAAGACUGUUUUGAUCUUUCAAGUUUUUCCUCCCAUCUAUCUCUUACUAAAAGUAUUUCAUUCUUUUAGGAACUUUGCUUUUGCUGACAAAACGUUUUCUCGCAAAAAUAAUCGCAUCUCCUUAAGAAACUUAACGUGCACAAGAACUGAAAUAUAGUUUUUCUGCAAAAGCUUUGUGAGUGCAUGCAUUGAAAAACAGUUUUUCCUCUCGCAAAAGUAUUUUUAUUCCCCUGAAGAACUUUGCAUUCGCUUACACAAGCAUUCAAAUAUAGUUUUUCAGCACAAACGUUUUAUGAGAGAAUGCACUGACUGAAAUAUCAUUUUCCUCCCAUCUCUCAUGCAAAAAGUAUUUCAUUUCCCUGAGAAAUUCUGCAUUAGCUUGCAAAACGUUUUGCGCUCUCGUUCACAAAAGUAAUGCAUUGUCUCGUAAAACCUUGCGUUUGCUCACAAAAGCAUUGAAAUAUAUUUUUUUUCUCCCACUUCAUAUUAGCAAGAGGACUCAGUUACUUUGUGGAACACAUAAUGUUUGCGAACCAAGAAAACCAAACUAGUUUCAAUAUCUUUUUGAUACACUAGACAAACUACACACUUUCUCUGCCUGCCAGAAG
rnacentral:lncRNA from 1 species